UUUAUACAAUGGAGAGUUUGAUCCUGGCUCAGGAUGAACGCUAGCGGCAGGCCUAAUACAUGCAAGU
rnacentral:rRNA from 1 species